rnacentral:rRNA from 1 species
AGAGUUUGAUCAUGGCUCAGGAUGAACGCUAGCUACAGGCUUAACACAUGCAAGUCGAGGGGCAGCAUGGUCUUAGCUUGCUAAGGCCGAUGGCGACCGGCGCACGGGUGAGUAACACGUAUCCAACCUGCCGUCUACUCUUGGACAGCCUUCUGAAAGGAAGAUUAAUACAAGAUGGCAUCAUGAGUCCGCAUGUUCACACGAUUAAAGGUAUUCCGGUAGACGAUGGGGAUGCGUUCCAUUAGAUAGUAGGCGGGGUAACGGCCCACCUAGUCUUCGAUGGAUAGGGGUUCUGAGAGGAAGGUCCCCCACAUUGGAACUGAGACACGGUCCAAACUCCUACGGGGCGCAGCAG